GGUAAAUCUCGUGCCAGCCACCGCGGUCAUACGAUUAACCCAAGUUAAUAGGCAUACGGCGUAAAGUGUGUUAAAGCACUAUACUAAAUAAAGUUAAAUUCCAAUUAAGCUGUAAAAAGCCAUAAUCGUAACAAAAAUAUAUAACGAAAGUAACUUUACAACCGCUGAAACACGAUAGCUAGGACCCAAACUGGGAUUAGAUACCCCACUAUGCCUAGCCUUAAACACAAAUAGUUAUGCAAACAAAACUAUUCGCCAGAGUACUACCGGCAAUAGCUUAAAACUCAAAGGACUUGGCGGUGCUUUAUACCCUUCUAGAGGAGCCUGUUCUAUAAUCGAUAAACCCCGAUAAACCUCACCAUUCCUUGCUAAUACAGUCUAUAUACCGCCAUCUUCAGCGAACCCUAAAAAGGUACAAAAGUAAGCACAAUCAUAAUACAUAAAGACGUUAGGUCAAGGUGUAACCUAUGGAACGGAAAGAAAUGGGCUACAUUUUCUAAUCUAAGAAAAUCCAACACGAAAGUUAUUAUGAAAUUAAUAACCAAAGGAGGAUUUAGCAGUAAACUAAGAAUAGAGUGCUUAGUUGAACUAGGCCAUGAAGCACGCACACACCGCCCGUCACCCUCCUCAAGUAGGCACAGUACACUCAAAUUUAUUUGCACGUAUUAAUCAUAUGAGAGGAGACAAGUCGUAACAAGGUAAGCAUACUGGA
rnacentral:rRNA from 1 species